rnacentral:rRNA from 1 species
CGCUAACACUCCUACGGGAGGCAGCAGUGGGGAAUAUUGCACAAUGGGCGCAAGCCUGAUGCAGCCAUGCCGCGUGUAUGAAGAAGGCCUUCGGGUUGUAAAGUACUUUCAGCAGUGAGGAAGGCGGGUACGUUAAUAGCGUGCUUGUUUGACGUUAGCGACAGAAGAAGCACCGGCUAACUCCGUGCCAGCAGCCGCGGUAAUACGGAGGGUGCGAGCGUUAAUCGGAAUUACUGGGCGUAAAGCGCAUGCAGGCGGCCUGUUAAGUCAGAUGUGAAAGCCCGGGGCUUAACCUCGGAAUUGCAUUUGAAACUGGCAGGCUAGAGUCUUGUAGAGGGGGUAGAAUUUCAGGUGUAGCGGUGAAAUGCGUAGAGAUCUGAAGGAAUACCAGUGGCGAAGGCGGCCCCCUGGACAAAGACUGACGCUCAGAUGCGAAAGCGUGGGGAGCAAACAGGAUUAGAUACCCUGGUAG